GGGGAUUUAGCUUAGUGGCAUAAGCACCUGCCUUGCAAGCAGGCGGUCGUGAGUUCGACCCCUGGUACCGA
rnacentral:tRNA from 1 species